CGGUGCUGGAAGGUUAAGGGGAUCUGUUAGAGCAAUCGAAGCAGUGAACUUAAGCCCCAGUAAACGGCGGCCGUAACUAUAACGGUCCUAAGGUAGCGAAAUUCCUUGUCGGGUAAGUUCCGACCCGCACGAAAGGCGUAACGAUUUGGGCACUGUCUCAACAACAGACUCGGUGAAAUUGUAAUUCCGGUGAAGAUGCCGGAUACCUGCGACAGGACGGAAAGACCCCAUGGAGCUUUACUGUAGCUUGACAUUGGGUCUUGGUACUACAUGUACAGGAUAGGUGGGAGGCUUUGAAACCAGGACGCCAGUUUUGGCGGAGCCAUCCUUGGGAUACCACCCUUGUAGUACUGGGACUCUAACCAUAGGCCAUGAAUCUGGUCUUGGGACACUGUCAGGUGGGCAGUUUGACUGGGGCGGUCGCCUCCCAAAAGG
rnacentral:rRNA from 1 species